rnacentral:tRNA from 1 species
AAGAUUAUAGUUAAAUAUAAUAUUUGACCUGCAAUCAAAAGGUGCUUAAAUAAGCUUAUCUU